CCUACGGGAGGCAGCAGUGAGGAAUAUUGGUCAAUGGGCGUAAGCCUGAACCAGCCAAGUCGCGUGAGGGAUGAAGGUUCUAUGGAUCGUAAACCUCUUUUAUAAGGGAAUAAAGUGUGGGACGUGUCCUAUUUUGUAUGUACCUUAUGAAUAAGGAUCGGCUAACUCCGUGCCAGCAGCCGCGGUAAUAAGGAGGAUCCGAGCGUUAUCCGGAUUUAUUGGGUUUAAAGGGUGCGUAGGCGGCCUUUUAAGUCAGCGGUGAAAGUCUGUGGCUCAACCAUAGACGUGCCGUUGAAACUGGGGGUCUUGAGUAUGUUGGAGGCAGGCGGAAUGCGCGGUGUAGCGGUGAAAUGCAUAGAUAUCGCGCAGAACCCCGAGUGCGAAGGCAGCCUGCC
rnacentral:rRNA from 1 species